rnacentral:rRNA from 2 species
UGCUUGACGACCAUAGAGCGUUGGAACCACCUGAUCCCAUCCCGAACUCAGUAGUGAAACGACGCAUCGCCGAUGGUAGUGUGGAGCUUCUCCAUGUGAGAGUAGGUCAUCGUCAAGCU